ensembl:lncRNA
CAGUCUGGUGCAGAGGUCUGUAGCAGAGGUGUCGUGGGAGUAGACUGUGGUGGGGUUUUGGUGUAAUGAACUUCUACCACAUGUCAUCAGAAAAGGUCACAGUCGACCACAGUUAGGCUGCAAAGAUCAAAGAUGAACGCACACACCCACACGCAAACACAGUCAUGCACACGCAAACACUCCUACACACACACGCAGUCACGCACACAGAAACCCAGACAGAUGGACAGACAGACAGUCACAGUGACACACAGACUCACACCCACACAGAGAGACGGUGAGAGACAGACAAACACCAAACAGACUGGCUGGAAAUCUUUGCAAUCCAACUUUGGGGAAGCUAUUUGAAAAAGGCCUCGGCUGCAGUUAAACACACAGAGAGGAAAAUAGAGUGGAGAAAAGAGAUGGGUGUAGUGUAGAGGAGUGUAAAGCAGUGUAGAGCAGUGUAGAGGAAUGUAAAGCAGUGUAGAGCAGUGUAGAGGAGAGGAGAGCAGAGCAGUAUAGAGGAGAGGAGUGUAGAGGAGAGGAGUGUAGAGCAGUAUAGAGGAGAGGAGUGUAGAGGAGAGGAGUGUAGAGCAGUGUAGAGGAGAGGAGUGUAGAGGAGAGGAGAGCUGUGUAGAGCAGUGUAGAGGAGAGGAGUGUAGACGAGAGGAGAGCAGAGCAGUGUAGAGGAGAGCAGAGCAGUGUAGAGGAGAGGAGUGUAGAGGAGAGGAGUGUAGAGCAGUGUAGAGGAGAGGAGUGUAGAGGAGAGGAGUGUAGAGCAGUGUAGAGGAGAGGAGUGUAGAGGAGAGGAGAGCAGUGUAGAGCAGUGUAGAGGAGAGGAGUGUAGAGGAGAGUAGAGCAGUGUAGAGGAGAGGAGUGUAGAGGAGUGUAGAGCAGUGUAGAGGAGAGGAGUGUAGAGGAGAGUAGAGCAGUGUAGAGGAGAGGAGUGUAGAGCAGUGUAGAGGAGAGGAGUGUAGAGCAGUAUAGAGGAGAGGAGUGUAGACGAGAGGAGUGUAGAGCAGUAUAGAGGAGAGGAGUGUAGACGAGAGGAGAGCAGAGCAGUGUAGAGGAGAGCAGAGCAGUGUAGAGGAGAGGAGUGUAGAGGAGAGGAGUGUAGAGGAGAGGAGUGUAGAGCAGUGUAGAGGAGAGGAGUGUAGAGGAGAGGAGAGCAGUGUAGAGCAGUGUAGAGGAGAGGAGUGUAGAGGAGAGUAGAGCAGUGUAGAGGAGAGGAGUGUAGAGGAGAGUAGAGCAGUGUAGAGGAGAGGAGUGUAGAGCAGUGUAGAGGAGAGGAGUGUAGAGGAGUGUAGAGCAGUGUAGAGGAGAGGAGUGUAGAGCAGUGUAGAGGAGAGGAGCGUAGAGGAGAGGAGAGCAGUGUAGAGGAGUGUAGAGGAGUGUAGAGCAGUGUAGAGGAGAGGAGUGUAGAGGAGAGUAGAGCAGUGUAGAGGAGAGGAGUGUAGAGCAGUGUAGAGGAGAGGAGUGUAGAGGAGAGUAGAGCAGUGUAGAGGAGAGGAGUGUAGAGCAGUGUAGAGGAGAGGAGCGUAGAGGAGAGGAGAGCAGUGUAGAGGAGUGUAGAGGAGAGGAGAGCAGUGUAGAGCAGUGUAGAGGAGAGGAGUGUAGAGGAGAGUAGAGCAGUGUAGAGGAGAGGAGUGUAGAGGAGAGUAGAGCAGUGUAGAGGAGAGGAGUGUAGAGCAGUGUAGAGGAGAAGAGUGUAGAGCAGUGUAGAUGAGAGGAGUGUAGAGGAGAGUAGAGCAGUGUAGAGGAGAGGAGUGUAGAGCAGUGUAGAGGAGAGGAGUGUAGAGGAGAGGAGAGCAGUGUAGAGGAGUGUAGAGGAGAGGAGAGCAGUGUAGAGCAGUGUAGAGGAGAGGAGUGUAGAGGAGAGUAGAGGAGUGUAGAGCAGUGUAGCGGAGAGGAGUGUGGAGAGGAGUGUAGGGAGGAGUGUAGAGGAGUGUAGAGAGGAGAGGAGUGUAGAGAGGAGUGUAGAGGAGAGUAGAAGAGUGUAGAGAGGAGUGUAGAGGAGAGGAGUGUAAAAGGAGUGCAGAAAGGAGUGUAGAGGAGAGGAGUGUAGAGGAGAGGAGUGUAGAGGAGUGUAGAGGAGUGUAGAGAGGAUUGUAGAGGAGAGGAGUGUAGAGAAGAGGAGUGUAGAGGAGAGGAGUGUAGAGAGGAGUGUUGAGGAGAGGAGUGUAGAGGAGUGUAGAGGAGUGUAGAGAGGAGUGUAGAGGAGUGUAGAGAGGAGUGUAGAGAGGAGUGUAGAGGAGUGUAGAGAGGAGUGUAGAGGAGAGGAGUGUAAAGAGGAGUGUAGAGAGGAGUGUAGAGAGGAGUGUAGAGAGGAGUGUAGAGGAGAGGAGUGUAGAGGAGUGUAGAGAGGAGUGUAGAGAGGAGUGUAGAGAGGAGUGUAGAGGAGAGGAGUGUAGAGAGGAGUGUUGAGGAGAGGAGUGUAGAGAGGAGUGUUGAGGAG